rnacentral:rRNA from 1 species
AUCGAUCUUGGCGAGGUUUAUAG